ACGAGGAGGAGGAGGAGAGAGAAGGAGGGGGAAACGUCUCAGCCGCCAAAGCUCCGGUUGAUCUUGUGUGCUGAGCUCUUCUUAAAGGGAGAAGAAAUAGCGGCCGCUAUCAUCCUCCACUGGCUUCGGCUGCCGCGGGCUUGCCAGGCGCGCUGGCAGUGGCCGUGCUACAGUACUGGCGCGGUAACUCGGCAAGAAGAUUUGCACCGGGAGAAAAUUGAGUUCGCACUCGGCUGUGCCAAGGUCUACUUGGAAUCCUACCUCGACGGGGCCGUCUGCAAAUGCACCGAAGCGAAGAACGUCAACCGCGUUUCUACCGAAAAAUUCUGCUUGGGAGUCCUUGACCGCGACGAUUCUAUGCCAACGGUCAUUCCACGCCGAGCUUUGUUAGCGCAUGGUGAGAGCGAUGCCGGCUCAGAACAGCGGAAGAUAAAAAGGACAUGGAAUCGAGCGAAAUGAAUUGCUAUAUAAUAUCGGCCCUACUUUGCCUGAAUAAAUUUCAUAUGUCCUUACGUGGCAA